rnacentral:rRNA from 1 species
UCGGGAAUAUUGCGCAAUGGAGGAAACUCUGACGCAGUGACGCCGCGUGCAGGAAGAAGGUUUUCGGAUUGUAAACUGCUUUAGACAGGGAAGAGAAAGGACAGUACCUGUAGAAUAAGCUCCGGCUAACUACGUGCCAGCAGCCGCGGUAAUACGUAGGGAGCGAGCGUUAUCCGGAUUUAUUGGGUGUAAAGGGUGCGUAGACGGGAAUACAAGUUAGUUGUGAAAUACCUCGGCUUAACUGAGGAACUGCAACUAAAACUAUAUGUCUUGAGUGUCGGAGGGUAGAUGGAAUUCCCGGUGUAGCGGUGAAAUGCGUAGAUAUCGG